rnacentral:tRNA from 1 species
GGGCCGUUAGCUCAGUUGGCAGAGCGCUUGCUCGACACGCAAGAGGUCAGAAGUUCAAGUCUUCUACGGCCCA